rnacentral:rRNA from 1 species
AUGGACGAGUGGCCCAGAGACAACGUUGGCCAAGAGCUUGCUAGCGACUCCAUCGAUAUGUUUCAGGACCUACUUGCCGCCCCCGACCGGUAUCCGCUGGACCGUAUGAAGCUCAUGUGCUCACGAAAGUUGUGGGAUAAUGUGACGGUAGAUAAUGUCGCGGCCAUCUUAGUUUGUGCUGAAACAUAUAGCUGUCCAGAGUUGAAGAAAAAUUGCAUGGACUUCUGCACAGUGGAGGAGAAUUUCAAGCAGGUGGCAUCCAAUGAUAUAUAUGCAUUGCUAGAGUUGAGAUUUCCGCCGAUUGCUGCUGAGAUAAGAGAAAAGGCUAGGACAUCAAAACUCAAAUGA